rnacentral:rRNA from 1 species
CCUACGGGAGGCAGCAGGGAUAUUGGUCAAUGGGGGAAACCCUGAACCAGCGACGCCGCGUGAGUGAAGAAGUAAUUCGUUAUGUAAAGCUCUAUCAGCAGGGAAGAAAGUGACGGUACCUGAAAAAGAAGCUCCGGCUAAAUACGUGCCAGCAGCCGCGGUAAUACGUAUGGAGCAAGCGUUAUCCGGAUUUACUGGGUGUAAAGGGAGAGUAGGUGGCAGAGCAAGUCCGAAGUGAAAACCCAAAGCUCAACUAUGGGAAUGCUUUAGAAACUGCUCAGCUAGAGUGCAGGAGAGGCAAGUGG